rnacentral:rRNA from 1 species
UACGAAGGGGGCUAGCGUUGUCCGGAAUUACUGGGCGUAAAGAGCUCGUAGGUGGUUUGUCGCGUUGUUCGUGAAAACUCACAGCUCAACUGUGGGCGUGCGGGCGAUACGGGCAGACUUGAGUACUGCAGGGGAGACUGGAAUUCCUGGUGUAGCGGUGGAAUGCGCAGAUAUCAGGGGGAACACCGGUGGCGAAGGCGGGUCUCUGGGCAGUAACUGACGCUGAGGAGCGAAAGCGUGGGGAGCGAACAGG